rnacentral:rRNA from 1 species
GUCUUAUUGAUAAUAAUUUUAAGUCGACCUGCCCAAUGAAAUUUAUUGAAUGGCUGCAGUAUAACUGACUGUACAAAGGUAGCAUAAUCAAUUGGUUUUUAAAUGAAAUCUAGAAUGAAAGGAUUAAUGAAAUAUAUACUGUCUCAUAUAUAUUACAUGAACUUAAAAUUUUAAUCAAAAUGUUAAAAUUUUUUUAUGGGACGAUAAGACCCUAUAGAAUUUUAUAUCAUCAUGUUUUAAUGGUUAAUAUAAAACAUGUGAUGAUAUUUGGUUGGGAGGACUAUUAAAUUUAAUGAACUUUAAUUUCUGAUAACUUUAAUGAAAGAAAAUUUGAACGAUCUUUAAAUUAAAAUAUUUAGAUUAAAUUACCUUAGGGAUAACAGCGUUAUACUUUUUUAUAGGCCACAUAGAAAAAAGUGAUUGCGACCUCGAUGUUGAAUUAAGAUAAAUUUUGAACGCAGGAGUUUAAUAAUUAAGUCUGUUCGACUUUUAAAAUCUUACAUGAUUUGAGUUCAAAUCGACGUAAGU